UACGUGAAACCGUUCAGGGGUAAACGGGAGAAAUCCUGAAUUCGAAGGGGAUCGGAUUCAAUUCUGCUCCGGACUUGUCCAGGCCACCUGGCCCCGCCAGAUGUCGCCGGUCGCCCACUGCGAUUCAUUUCGUUUGUGGUGUCGUUCCCGGCGGUCACUCGGUGGGGUGGUGUUUGCUCUGGCACCGGCAGAGUGCACUUCCUCCCUUGUAGAAACGUCGCGACCCGUUGGGUGCCGGUCUAAGGCCCGGGAUGGCAGACCACGCGUCCUGCGGGUGGUCUCGCAGGCGUGUGGACUCCUGGUGACCCGGCCGGCUGCUCGACGGUAUGACCAGAGGAGUCGAUCCGCUGAAAUGGGAAACACUGUGGUUGUGUAGCGUCCGGCCCGGCGCCGACACGUGCGGGUGAAAUGGGUGAAAUAUACCGGUGGUGUCCGUACCGAAGCACGGAGCCGGUCCCGCUGCGUCGUUGGCCGUCGGUGUCCUCGGACUGGAUCAGCACUCCCGUCUGCGACGCCCACCUUCGGAUGG
rnacentral:rRNA from 1 species